rnacentral:rRNA from 1 species
UACGUAGGGUGCGAGCGUUGUCCGGAAUUAUUGGGCGUAAAGGGCUCGUAGGCGGUCCAUCGCGUCGGGAGUGAAAAGCUGGGGCUUAACCCCAGUCCUGCUUUCGAUACGGGUGGACUAGAGGUAGGCAGGGGAGAAUGGAAUUCCUGGUGUAGCGGUGAAAUGCGCAGAUAUCAGGAGGAACACCGGUGGCGAAGGCGGUUCUCUGGGCCUUACCUGACGCUGAGGAGCGAAAAGCAUGGGGAGCAAACAGG